rnacentral:tRNA from 1 species
UGUAGCUCAGCUGGUAAAGUGCCUGCCUCGUGUGCAGGAGUCCCUGGGUUUGAUGCCCAGCA